UAAGUUCAAUAGGUCUUUAUUGAAUGUCAUAGUUCAAGAGGCAAGUCUGGAAACACUGGUAUCAAACAGUGAGCUUGAAACAGGAUCACUGAUGAAUUGGUGAUGAUUACUAGUUAAUGUGAUUUAUGUCUACUUGCUUUCCAAGUAGCUCUCAGGCAUGUGACCUGUGAAACAGCUGCUGUUUACAUACAAGGAUCCAAGGGGAUAUAAGAAUCAUAAGAAUCAGAGCAGAGAGNNNNNNNNNNNNNNNAAAGAAAGAAAAAAAAAAACCCAUAAGCAACAGAAACCAAGGCUACUUAGCAUUAUGAGAAUCCAAUUCUACCUUCACAUGGAACCGUGGAUAGCCCAACACACCAGAAAAUCAAGACUCUGAUUUAAAAUCACAUCUCAUGAUGAUGAUAGAGGACUUUAAGAAGGACAUAAAUAACUCCCUUAAAGAAAGACAGGGGAACAAACACAGGUAAACAGCUAGAAGCCCUUAAAGAGGUAACACAAAAAUCCCUUAAAGAAUUAUAGGAAAACACAACAAAUCAGGUGAAGGAAUUGAACAAAAUCAUCCAGGAUUGUGGGGCAUUGGGCUAUGCACAGACAGCCUGGUUUCCAGUUGAGGCUAGAUGUUGAACCCCGGGACCCAGUGGUGAUAAUUCACUUACAUGGGACGGAAGGAGUUCUCUCAUUUCUCCUGGAACCCUGGCUCCUGUCGAAGUUACUGCCCCCUCAGCCUCCACAAGAGAAGUAUGGUUAGUAGUAAUGUAGGCAAUGUCCCAAGCUUCUGACCUUCAGGCUAAAUUCCUCCCCAGUUACCUAGCAACAGUAAAGAUAACUGCACACCAUAAGAGGGACUGUUCAGCCCCACCUCACUCUCUUACUCUCUUUUCUCUCCUCAUCCUCUCCUCUCACUCUCUUACUCUCUCUCCCUCUUGCUCUCUCCCUCUUACUCUAGCCUUUCUUCUCUCUCUCCAUUUCCCCCUUUCUCUCCUCUUGGUCAUGGCCAGUCUCUCGUUCUACCUUCUCUCUUUCUCCCUGCCUUUCUACAAUACAGCUCUAAAACCAUAGACUAUCUCUGUUCAUCAAGGCCCACUGCGCUUACUCUCACCUCUCUCCAAUAACCCUGGGGGCUACGCCCUGGGGCCCCCGUUCGGGGGAUGCCCCUUGUCCAACCCACCCCCUGUCAACUGGGGUCAGUGGCUUAGAUGCCCACCCAGGGCCGAGUGGAAAGCGUCCAGCAGCCCUCCUGUGUCAGCCUGCCCAGAGCAUAGGAGGAACUUUGGCCAGGCACGGGCUAUCCUCCUCUCCCCCUCUUUCCCCUACAACCUUUUUAGUUCCCACACAGGAUCUAAAAAUUGAAGUAGAAAAAAUAAAGAAAUCACAAAGGAAGACAAUCUUGGAGUUAGAAAACCCAGGAGAGAGAUCAGGAGUCACAGAUGCAAGCAUCACCAACAAAAUACAAGAGAUAGAAGAGAGAAUCUCAGGGGCAGAAGAUACAAUAGAAAACAUUGGCACAACAAUCAAAGAAAAUGCAAAAUGCAAAAAGAUCCUAACCCAAAACAUCCAGGAAAUCCAGGACAAAAUAAGACCAAAUCAAGGAUAAUAGGUUUAGAAGAGAGUGAAUGAAGAUUCUCAACUUAAAGGCCCAGUAAGUAUUUUCAACAAAGUUAUAGAAGAAAAUUUUCCUAACCUAAAGAAAGAGAUGCACAUAAACAUACAAGAAGCCUGGAGAACUCCAAAAAUAUUGGACCAGAAAAGAAAUUCCUCCUGUCAUAUAAUAGUCAAAACAUCAAAUGCACAAAACAAAGAAAAAGAAUAUUAAAAGCAACAAGGAGAAAAGGUCAAGUAACAUAUAAAGGCAGACCUAUCAGAAUUACACCUGACUUCUCACCAGAGACUAUGAAAGCUGGAAGAUCCUGGGCAGAUGUCAUUCAGACCCUAAGAACACAAAUGCCAGCCCAGGCUACUAUACCCAACAAAACUCUCAAUUACCAUGGAUGGAGAAACCAAGAUAUUCCAUGACAAAACCAAAUUUAAACAAAAUCAUUCCACAAAUCCAGCCCUAUAAAGAAUAAUAAUAGAUGGAAAACUCCCAACUCAAGGAGGGAUACUACACCCUAAAAAAAGCAAGAAAGUAAUCUUCAUUCAACAAACCCAAAAGAAGACAUCCACACACACAUAAAAAUAACAUCAAAAAUAACAGGAAGAAACAAUCACUAUUCCUUAACAUCUCUUAACACCAAUGGAACCAAUUCCCCAAUAAAAAGACAUAGACUAAUAGACUGGUUAUGUAAACAGGACCCAACAUUUUGCUAUAUAAAGGAAACACCUCAGUGUCAAAGACAAACACUACCUUAGAGUAAAGGGCUGGAAAACAAUUUUCCAAGCAAAUGAGGUAUACAAGUAUCCAGUAAUAACAAACUUGUAUUCAAACAGAAUUGGAAACACAGCAUUACAACUGAAACAGAAUUCAAUUCUGUGUCUUCAUUUGCAAGCCUGUCAACACUGAAAAGGAUCAUCCCAUUUUCCUGUGACUAGUUUGUAAAUCAUUCUGCUGGCAAAUAACAAAAUUGCACUGAAAACCUUUAUUAGUCCUCCUUCCUUCCCUUUCUCCCCUGUAGUAAUGGAACAAUGAAGGGAAUUUGCAGUUAGAGGUAUUAGUGUUUAAUAGAGCUAGAUUUUUCAUCAACAGUGCUUUCUUCUGACAAAUUUUAUAUUAUUAAGUGCAUCAGGUAAAUAGUCACAUGCUUUGAAUUCUCUAUAUAGAUAUCAACACAAGAGUUAAUGGCAGUUUAGAAUCUCAUUCCCACUGGUCAGAAUUCUUUAAAAUAGUCUCCGCACACUGUAAGUGAGGACUGGUCUCAAUAAAAUUCUGCAGUUAAAAGGUACAGCAAAGAAG
rnacentral:lncRNA from 1 species